CCCCCACCUCCUCCCUCCUCCUCCUCCACCUCCUCCACCUAGACCAAAAGGUCCACCAGGACCAAGCUAUUCUGCUGCUGAUACACCUCCAGGAGGACCAGCUCAGCCUCCACCUGUGGUCGUUGUCGGUUCUGCGAAAAAGAAAUCUAGAAUGAAGAGCCAUGGAUGAAAACACGAAGAUUCCAGGUUGUAUUUUGUCUUUAAUAAUAAGGAUUUUUGAAUAGAAUUAUUUGCGAUGGAAUUAUAAGUGUACGUUGUUUUAACAAAUAAUAAUAUCCACAGACUCAUAUAGAUUUUAUCUAAUUUCUUUUCGUUGUUAGUGUCUAAAGAUUUAUUAAAAUACUUGUUGUUUUUGAUUAAAAUCACAGCAACAGUUGUGAAGAAGAGCCAGGGAUAAUACGCUCUUUUUCAUUUAAAAAAUUAUUAAAAAUUGAAUGUACGUAUACAAAUAAUAAACAUCAAUAACACA